AUUGAACGCUGGCGGCAUGCUUUACACAUGCAAGUCGAACGGCAGCGGGGAGAAGCUUGCUUCUCUGUCGGCGAGUGGCGAACGGGUGAGUAUAGCAUCGGAACGUGCCAAGUAGUGGGGGAUAACCAAACGAAAGUUUGGCUAAUACCGCGUAAGCUCUAAGGAGGAAAGUAGGGGACCUAAAUAAGGCCUUACGCUAUUUGAUCGGCCGAUGUCGGAUUAGCUAGUUGGUGGGGUAAUGGCUCACCAAGGCAAUGAUCCGUAGCGGGUCUGAGAGGACGAUCCGCCACACUGGGACUGAGACACGGCCCAGACUCCUACGGGAGGCAGCAGUGGGGAAUUUUGGACAAUGGGGGAAACCCUGAUCCAGCCAUGCCGCGUGUAUGAAGAAGGCCUUAGGGUUGUAAAGUACUUUUGUUAGGGAAGAAAAGCUAGUUUUUAAUAAAAAUUAGUGAUGACGGUACCUAAAGAAUAAGCACCGGCUAACUACGUG
rnacentral:rRNA from 1 species